rnacentral:rRNA from 1 species
AGCGAACGCUGGCGGCAGGCCUAACACAUGCAAGUCGAGCGCCCCGCAAGGGGGAGCGGCAGACGGGAGAGUAACACGUGGGAACGUACCCUUCAGUUCGGAACAACCCAGGGAAACUUGGGCUAAUACCGGAUACGUCCGUAAGGAGAAAGACUUAUCGCUGAAGGAUCGGCCCGCGUCUGAUUAGCUAGUUGGUGAGGUAACGGCUCACCAAGGCGACGAUCAGUAGCUGGUCNGAGAGGAUGAUCAGCCUCACUGGGACUGAGACACGGCCCAGACUCCUACGGGAGGCAGCAGUGGGGAAUAUUGGACAAUGGGCGCAAGCCUGAUCCAGCCAUGCCGCGUGGGUGAUGAAGGCCCUAGGGUUGUAAAGCCC